UACGUAGGGUGCAAGCGUUAAUCGGAAUUACUGGGCGUAAAGCGUGCGCAGGCGGUUUUGUAAGUCUGAUGUGAAAUCCCCGGGCUCAACCUGGGAAUUGCAUUGGAGACUGCAAGGCUAGAAUCUGGCAGAGGGGGGUAGAAUUCCACGUGUAGCAGUGAAAUGCGUAGAGAUGUGGAGGAACACCGAUGGCGAAGGCAGCCCCCUGGGUCAAGAUUGACGCUUAUGCACGAAAGCGUGGGGAGCAAACAGG
rnacentral:rRNA from 1 species